GUCUGGAGGCCACUUGGGGGCGCCGGGUGGGCACUUGCAGGGGCCCUUAGGGAUUCUGUCGGACAAUUCGGGGUCCGGGGGAGCACUUGGGGCUCCAGGGGGCACUUGGAGGUCAGGGAGGGGAAUCUGGGGGCCCUUCGGGGUCCGGGCGGGCACUUGGGGGGCUCUGAGGGGGCUCUCUGGGGCGCGGGGCAUGAUGGGAGUUGUAGGCGCGGGUAGGACACGGUUGAACGGGGCCGCGGAGCAUCACGGGAGUUCAAAGCACAGCGCCAAUGGCUCUCAGGGGCGCGGGGCAUGCUGGGAGAUGAAGUCACGGCUGGAAUAGCGCUCUACCGGCGCCGCGGAGCAUGCUGGGAGCUGUAGUCCCGGAAGUGGCUCAAAACUGGCGUUUGGGGAUCGGGAGACAAUUCCGAGAGAUUUUUUCUGUCCGAGCCGCCACUUCAGGUCCUCGAGGCGAACGUACAUGGUUUGGAGCGUUUGGGUGUAACUCCCACAGGAACAAGGCAUGCAGGGCCUGCUUUCUAAGUGAGGAUGGAUGGAAGGGAAGAAGACAUCUGGCUCAAGGGUGCAGUGACAGAGACAACAAGGAGUGAAUCUGGGAUGUUCAGGAGGCCUGGCCUGCUCAGAGAAGCUGUGCCUUGAGGGCUGAGCCAGUGUGGACAACCUUGCUGCACAUUGCCCAAGCCCAUCCUGUGUGUCCUCCCUCACCUGGGACCUGCUUUGCUUGGAGAGCUGCCUGCACUCAGGAAUAAAGGGGGUUUUUAGUUUUUGAA